CAGCAGCUGCAUCUCUCACCUUCCCUUCCCUUUUCUUCCACCCUCUCCUCACCUGCUGUAGAGAGCAGGCACUCCAGGUGGGUUGCACAGCAAGUGCAAGAGGGGACUGACUGAAGGAACAGGUGCUUUCCCAGCAGAACUUCAGAUGUGCCUUGUGUUAGGAGGAAGGGGGAGCAGAUGAAAGAAUCAGGGAAAGAACAGACAUGAAAAGCCUUUUUCACUGCUCCAUUUCUGAAAAAGAAAAAGGUUUCAGCUUUACAGGGAAGGUGGUUUGUUCUAGCUGCAAAAUCGCUUGGCAUUCUUAGAAGGAAGCUGCUUGUAGAGAUAAUUAAAUUAUACAAAAAAUACCAGCUAAGGUGAGUCCUAUUGCCUUUAACUUUAGUUUCCUGUGGGAGCUCUUACCACCAGAGAAAAGGACUAGAUUUUGCACUGUUUUUCAGCACAGUUCCCAGGAACUAUGCUAAUUGAUCUCUACUUUGAUCCUUUAUCAUCUGCAGGUCCAGACUCUAACAAGAUGAGGUCAUAAAUUAUGUCAGUUUAAAAGGAUCCAUACUGCAAAAAAAAAAUGAUUUGUUGUUAUUCUUACAGAAAGGACAAUGAAAACAAAUAUGAAGGUUUUAUUUUGCAUAUAUACAAAGGCAUAAACAAAAAUUAACUAAAACAUGAACACUUUUUUUCUUAUUUAAAGAUUCUAGGGUUGUUAUGUGGAGGCAGGCAAUGGCAAACCACCUCUUGUCUUGAAACCCCUCCAGGGCUGCCUUAAGUUGACUGCAACUUGACAGCACUUUCUAUCUUUACAACGAAGACUAUUGUGGGCUUUCCACCAUCUGUAAAUCUAACUCCAAGCAGGGCUCAUUUCGAGAGGGAAUGCACAGGAAUGCAGUUCCAGCAGUUCCCCAAAGAGGUCACAUGUCAGGUGGCCCCGCCCUGACUCUCGGCCAUUUUGGGCCCAUUUUGGCCUGGGUUGGGGCCAAAACGGCUUGGAUCGGGCCUCUGACGGGUGGUGGAUCACUCUCCCGCUCAUCAGCAGCCUGAUCCUGACCAUUUUGGGCCCCUUUUCAGCCAUUUUCAGCCCCUUUUUGCCAUUUUGGGCCCGAUUUCGGCCCUGAAUGGCCAGGACUGGGUCCAAAACAGCCAGAAUAGGUGAUGUCAGGAGAUGUGGCAUACGCAAAUCAGCUAUACUAAUGACGCACUUCCAUUGGUAGCAAGAGGCGUGGCAUAUGCUAAUAAGUUAUGCUAAUGAGUUCCUCCAGCUCUUUUUCUACGAAAUGACCUCUGACUCCAAGUAUCUGGGUUUGCCUAGGUGCAAUUAGAUAUCAGUAGUAUAUAAUUUUGCUAAUGAUGUCCAUGACAGAGUAAAAAUUACAGCACAUUUGUAUAAGGAAGGAAGAAUAAAAAGAUUCUAAAUUUGCACGGGGUCUGUUGCCCUAGUUUAUGCAGUCACUUUAAAAAAAAAUCCAAUUGAACUAGUAAGGGUAUUAAUCCAAGUGUCCUAAACUGAUGUGCCAGCAAAAUUUCAAUACAAAAGCCAUCUUGCUGCAGAUUUUUCUCAGCAGGCAGGCCAGAAUUUCAGCUCAGAUAAUUGCAUUCAGCUUCAUUGAAUUCCCCCCUGCAUUUCCAGAACUGGAGGUGACAUCCGUCUUUUCUUUGCAAACUCAAAAUGUAGUGUUGUGCUGCUGCUGGCUUUGUAACAGCUCCCAUUUUCUGCUUCAGGGAUGGGUUUUGUGUCUGUGGCGAUGGGAUUUGUUUGCUUAGUCAGCCUAUGAUGAAAUAGGAAGAAAAGUUCUGAACUGUGAGGAAAAAAUGUAAAGAUUUGUUCUUAGUCAAGUGUGGGUGUGAAAAAAAGAAGAAAAGAAAAUGAAAGUGUGCCUGAGAAAAGGAGACAAUAGCUAGGACUGGGAUUUCAUUUAUAUCCCAUCCCUCUUGUAAGGAUCUCAUGGUGGCCCACAUGGUCUUCUAAGGUUUCCUACUGGCCUGUAGAAAAAUCUCGUCUCUUUAAUAAUAAAUGUGUGUGGAAAUGGGCAUCUGGAGCUUUUCAUGGCAGGGAGGAAAAUAGAACCAUCUGGUAAAUAACAUCUCAUGAAACCUCUGUUAAACAGACAGGACGGUUUUCUCCAGGCAGUUGGCAACCUAUCUCCCCUCCCCAUUUUGCCCUCAUAACAAAAACUCUGUCAAGUAGAUGCUGAGAGAGAAUGACUGGCCGAAGGUCACCCAGUUAGCUUGUUGGCACAGGGAUUUGAACCCGGGUUUCCCAGAUUUAGUUGGGCAUUCUAACUACAGUACUACACUGGCAUCAUUUAGGAAGGCUCACUAUAAAGACUUAAGGCCAGGAUCUAACCUUUCCUGUGUGGAUACCUAAGGCACCUUGGCACAUACUAGGGGAGGGGGGGACUUCAGUGCUUUUUACUUUAUUUUUUACUUUUUAGUGUCACAGUUCUAUUAGAUACCACACUGUAAGAUGCCUGUUCAGGAAUGGCUUGGGCUGACAUGGAGAACAACUUGGUAAGUUAUUUUUUUCACAGCCUUUUUAAUCUUGUAAUUUGUACUGGAAACACAUCUUCCCACAGGUGACUAACUUCAAAGUUGGGCCUGGAGUUGUCCUGGAAUUACAGCUGAUAUUUAAACUGCAGAGAUCAGUUCCUGUGGAGGAAAUGGCGGCUUCAAAUGAUGCACUCUGCGGUAUCCCAUCCGGCUGCACUUCCUCCUCUCUCCAAACUCUUCCCCCAGACACUGCUCCCAAAUCUCCAGGAAUUUUCCAAGCAAGAGUUGGCAAUGCUACCCAGAAUUACCACUGAUCUCCAAAAUGCAUAGAUCAGUUCCUCUGGAGGAAAUAGUUUAGGUAGAUACUAGAGAGCCAGUUUGGUGCAGUGGUUAAGAGCAUGGGACUCUAAUCUGGAGAGCCGGGUUUGAUUCCCUACUCCUCCACUUGAGGCCAGCUGGGUGACCUUGGGUCAGUCACAGCUUCUAGGAGCUCUCUCAGCCCCACCCACCUCACAGGGUGAUUUGUUGUGGGGAUAAUAAUGACAUACUUUGUAAACCACUCUGAGUGGGCAUUAAGUUGUCCUGAAGGGCGGUAUAUAAAUUGAAUGUUGUUGUUGUUGUUGUUAUUAUCUUAAACAGGCAAAACAGCUGCUGCAUCACUGCUUAGGGCCAGGCCAAAUCCCCCUCCUUCUAUGUACUGUUUUCUGUCCUUCCAUACUACAUCUCCUGGCAGGUAGUGCUUCCAAUUCUGGCGUUUAUAACCAUUACUAUACCUAAGAACAAGACAUCUACCUCAUAGGAUCAGUGUGAGAAUGAUAUAGGGCGAGGGAUAAGAUUGCCAACACUGCCUUAGCAAAUGCAGGGAGAUUUGGGAGAUAGUGCCUUGGGAGGGUAGAGUUUGGGUAAGAUAUGAUGUCACUUCUGGGUGACCCUCUAGGCUGCCUCCUCUUGUCUCUGUGGUCUUUCCCAUAGAGACUUGGGAAAUUUCUAGAGCAUCACUAUGUGAAGGCCAUUUUUCCCUCCCACUUUGGGGCUUGAGGAGUGGUAAUUCCAUGCCCUGGGUGGGUAAAUGAGAGUCCCAGGGUGAGAAAACUAUGUAUGCCAUAGGAAUGCCAAGCUACCACCUGGCACCCAGGGAGCUUUAGGAGUGGGCAAGGGGUGGAAGUGAUGCCAUACAAUGUAUCGACUUCAUGUCUGGCCCAAACACAGGCAUAGUGUCAGUGAACUGGAUGAUGGUCUGGAAACUCUAGGAGUGUCAUCUGAUGUACUGAUGUCACAUCUGGGUUUUUGGCCAGAUGUCACAUCGACUUGCAACAUCAUUUCUACCCCACCCAUUGCAUUCUCUUGCCGAUCAAGAGGCAAGGAUAAGUGGGAAGCCUUGCCAGUGGGAGAAUACCUACCAGAACCAGGUAAAUGUCAUACCAGGUAGGCCAUCCUGCACCUUUGGAGAAAGGGUAAAAACGGAUAAAUGGAUAGCAGUUCUGUGUAUCGUGUUGAGUUUUCCCCUCAUCCCGGAAGACAGAGGUGUAGAGUGCAUGAUGCUGGAACUGUGAUUUCGUUUAACUGUAUGUUUCUAAUUUUUGCACGUUUCUCACACAUUUUCUUGAGAAGUGCUGCUAUACUGUUUUAAAUAUUUAUGUUGGUUUAUCUGUAUUUUAAUGUAUAUAUAUUUUAAUGUAUUAUAUUGUAUGUAAUCCGCCCUGAGAUUACUGUUGUGGGGAGGGCGGAAUAUAAAUUGAAUAAAAUAAAUAAAUAAGCACUUCUUCCCAGA